UUUUUUAUUUUUUUAAUACGAAACCGAACAGUUUUGCUAUUUGGUUCGGGCUAACCCGAACCAAAUAGCAAAUCCGUUCUGUUUCACUCUUUCAAUCCGUUCAAGUUUUAGGUUCAACCCGAACCGAACCAAAACCCGAAAUUGGUUAGGUUUGGUUCAUCCCGACCCGAACGCCCACCCCUACCUGUCGGUACUUGAUUGCAUGCCUUCUUUUUGUAGAAAAGAAUAGUGAAUUAUUAAGUUCAUCAUAUUGGUACAAAACAAGGU
rnacentral:lncRNA from 1 species